AGAAGGCCAGAGCACCUGGGACCUUGUUUUACUAAAGCUUAUUAUGUUUCAGUGGCCCUGGUUCCCCAUGACAAAAGUACAAAGAGUACCCGCAAGAAGUAAGUUGAAGAUAAGGAGUGAGGAGAAGGAAGGUUAGUGGUAAGGCCACCAGUGAUUCUAACAGCAAAGGGACAAGAAAAAAGACUGGAACUUUAUUUAGAGGAUAAAGCUGAUGCCUGGCUUGCCAUCUUGCCCAGAUGGGACCUCAGGCAUAGGUUCCUAACUGUGAAUAUCCUGAUUUUGAAGAAAACAGUAGAUUAAUUUCAACUGCUGGCAGCUUUCACUUGACCUUGCAAAGGUUACAAUUAUCCAGAAAUCUCAUACCUAUGAGGGAAGCCAACUUCUGUGUCAUGAGGACAUUCAAGCAGCACUAUGGAGCCAUCCAUGUGGCUAGGAGCUGAAACUGAGCCAAGAAGCAGUGAGGAACUGGCUGGUAACAGCCAUGUGGGUAAAAGCCAUCUGAGAAGUGCAUGCUCUAGUCUCAGUCAAGCCUUCAGAAGACUGUGGCACCUGACAUCUCCACUGCAACCUCAUUAGAAACUCAAGACAGAACUGCCAGAGAAGCUCUUCCUGAAUUUCUGACCUACAGAAACGGAAGAAAUUGUGUUUUGGAAUUGGGCCAACAGUAUGUGUUUCUCCGGUGGAUAAGCAAAAUUUCAUAAGAACAAAGAUGAUUCAAGCAGAUGUUUAUCAUGAAACUGCCAUAAAAAGCACCCGAAGUCACAAAGAUAAACAUCAAAUCCAGUCCUUGGAAAUUUCCCCCACCCUACCUGAGCAUCUUUUGAAGUAGAUAUUCAAUUAUUUUGAAGGAUUUUUAAAGAAUUUUCUAGAUUUCAUCUAAAAGACACUUUUGAAAUCUGCGUUAAAAUUCAUGGAAAUAUAUCCUAGAUGAAUUUGGAGGAAUGUAAGCAAGUAGGUACAAACCUUUAUUUUAUCCCUCAGUGACUCACUCAGUUGUGAAUAGGAAGGGCUCUCUGUGAUCUGGCCACAGCUUAUUUCUUGCCACAUUCCUAUUUUCAGUCCUCUUCCAAUCAUGUGGAACUUCCAGCAUCUCCUUACACAUGCCAUGUUAUUUCACACUUUUGUGACUUUGCUCAUAUUUUUCUCUCUCCC
rnacentral:lncRNA from 1 species